GGCAAUUCGCGUGGAUAAUCAUAAUCGCGAAAUUACAAUUAGUUACCCUCGUCAUGGGAAAACGUCUGGUACGGACGCCCGAGGGAGGCGCGGUGGUGAAACGAAGUAGGGUUGCGUUCGUACGUUCGUCCUGGUUUCAGUCGAACGAGAGGAACGAAGAGGAGGUGUGCAAGGAGCUUAGACGAGACGUAGUUGAGAGGCAAAGGGUGAGAGAGCUUUUGCUAAUGAGUUUCCGGCUGUACUCGGAGGAUAAUAAAGUCUGCAAACCCUCGAAAAGUGAGAAUCAACCGAAUGAAAUGAUAAACCAAAUUUUAACAUUACGAGGAUAAGGCGUUUAUAUGGAUUCAUAGAGACGAGAGUUGCAUUUAUUAAGCCGCAGAAAAUCCAUGAAGGGUUCGCGAGAAACGACUGUGAGAGAUUGGAAUAUAAAGGAGCUCGCUUUAUUCAACGACAAAGAUAAUCACUCGGGAGAAUGUUGACGGCGCCUUCAUUAAAUUUUAACCAGGUCGGUUCUCUGACUCGGAUAGAAACUGGUGCUCCUGCG